rnacentral:tRNA from 1 species
AAGUAGAAAGCGAAGUAUUGCAUUCAGUUUCGACCUGACCAUUGAUUAUUAUCUCUACUUA